CCGUAGGUGAACCUGCGGAAGGAUCAUUACCGAGUGCGGGUCCUUUGGGCCCAACCUCCCAUCCGUGUCUAUUGUACCCUGUUGCUUCGGCGGGCCCGCCGCUUGUCGGCCGCCGGGGGGGCGCCUCUGCCCCCCGGGCCCGUGCCCGCCGGAGACCCCAACACGAACACUGUCUGAAAGCGUGCAGUCUGAGUUGAUUGAAUGCAAUCAGUUAAAACUUUCAACAAUGGAUCUCUUGGUUCCGGCAUCGAUGAAGAACGCAGCGAAAUGCGAUAACUAAUGUGAAUUGCAGAAUUCAGUGAAUCAUCGAGUCUUUGAACGCACAUUGCGCCCCCUGGUAUUCCGGGGGGCAUGCCUGUCCGAGCGUCAUUGCUGCCCUCAAGCCCGGCUUGUGUGUUGGGUCGCCGUCCCCCUCUCCGGGGGGACGGGCCCGAAAGGCAGCGGCGGCACCGCGUCCGAUCCUCGAGCGUAUGGGGCUUUGUCACAUGCUCUGUAGGAUUGGCCGGCGCCUGCCGACGUUUUCCAACCAUUCUUUCCAGGUUGACCUCGGAUCAGGUAGGGAUACCCGCUGAACUUAAGCAUAUCAAUAAGCGGA
rnacentral:rRNA from 1 species